CGUUCCCGGGUCUUGUACACACCGCCCGUCACACCACGAGAGUUUACAACACCCGAAGUCGGUGGGGUAACCCGCAAGGGAGCCAGCCGCCGAAGGGUGGGGGUAGAUGAUUGGGGUG
rnacentral:rRNA from 1 species